AAAUUACCUGUAGUGCAUGUGCAUGUGUGAGCAGGCAUUUUGGGAAGUGUGGGGUGCGUACUUCAUAGCAUCUGAAUCCUGCUGUUUUGUGCCGUGGUCUGAUGGCUUUAGGGCUCUGGGCUGUGCUGAAAGCCUACAGUGGCCACAGGCCAUUGCUGACCUGAUGUAAAGCCCCCACUGCUGCAAACUGCUCUCUAUAUAGGUUCUGAUGGGCUGCAUCUGUAUUGCCAGGUAUUCUGAGAGCGUCAGCUGUGGUCUUGAUGCUGUUGCAAAGCCAACACUGUGUCUGUUGUGAGCUCUGGCUGGACAGAGCUGAGGUUAUGACCAGAUUUAGACAUCUGGCAGUGGUACUGUCAUGAGCUGGUGCAAGAGGAACUUCUGAAGACCCAGGGUAGCCCAGUAGUGAUCAGAUAGUGGACCUUGGCCAGAAGGAUCUCCCUCCACGAGUCCAGCCCACUUUGCCAGAGGAGCUUCGAUGCGGACACCUUUGGCUCUGGGUUGGGCACCUGACUUCAAAGGGAGAGCCGGCUCCUGAGGGGUAUGGAAAAGAAGGAAAUGGUUCUGUGAAAUAAGAGACAUCGUUAUCUAACAAGGUGCAGGUUUUGCAGCAUUUUACAUGAUUAAAGCACUUAAGCACUCUCUUCCACGUGCAGGGUCUGGUGUCUACCAGGAGCUCCACGUGCUGCUUCUUUUGCCAGUGGGGAUAUCAC